GCUCUACGCAAUUUCAACGUCAGUGUGCUUCGAGUGCUCUAUGGAAUUAUUGUGCCAAGCAUGCAUUCUUCCAGGAAGAAAAUGGAAAAGAUAUUUUCUAUCAUCCUGCUCCUCACUUGUUGCACUCAGCUAGAAUGCAAGUUCCCCUUGAUAAAAAAGACUUACGACAUUGAAAAGUUUUUCUUCACAAAAUCAUUCAUAUGGACGUAUAACACAACCAAAGGAACUGCCAGGACCUGCCAAGUGGACAGAGUCACGCACAUAAACGAUACUACAGUUACGUUCAAACGCUACUUCUACAACGUCUUCCACAGGAAGAUAAUGAUUCCAUUGGAGGGAACAUUAUAUUUUGACAGAAAAGACCUAAUGAUUGUUCGAGCA